rnacentral:tRNA from 1 species
GCCCCUAUAGCUCAGCUGGUAGAGCAACUGAUUUGUAAUCAGUAGGUCACGCGUUCGAAUCGUGUUGGGGGCA